CCCGCCCUCCCCCUUUUUCGUGCCUGGAGGUUGCGGGUCAGCGCGAGCCACUGCAGUGAGUCCGUCACGGCUCCGGCGUGAGCUUGAGCGCGAAGCUGCAGCCCGGGAGCCGCCUGGCCCUCGCCUCCAUCUCCCGCGCCUCUCCGCCUCGACCCCUGCUCGCCGCCUCUCCUCCCGCUCUUUCGGUUCCUGAAUCUCGACCUUAAUUUUUCUUCUCCCCCGCCCGCUCCCGCGUGCCCAGUCACCCCGUCGGCGCGGGCCCCGCGGCGCCGCCUCCCCUCCCCCAGCCCGCACCCCCUCCCCCGCGGGUGUCCCGAGGGCCGCAGCCGCCCCAGCCGAGCGCAGCUGGGCCGCCACCGCCGCCGCUUCCUGCGGGAGCCCGUCUGAGCGCCGACACUCUCCUCCGUCCGAGCCAGCCGCCGACCGCCCGCCAGCAAAAUGGGAAAUGAGGCAAGUUAUCCUUUGGAGAUGUGCUCACACUUUGAUGCUGAUGAAAUUAAAAGGCUAGGAAAGAGAUUUAAGAAGCUUGAUUUGGACAAUUCUGGUUCUUUGAGUGUGGAAGAGUUCAUGUCUCUGCCGGAGUUACAACAGAAUCCUUUAGUACAGCGAGUAAUAGAUAUAUUCGACACAGAUGGGAAUGGAGAAGUAGACUUUAAAGAAUUCAUUGAGGGAGUCUCUCAGUUCAGUGUCAAAGGCGAUAAGGAGCAGAAGUUGAGGUUUGCUUUCCGUAUCUAUGACAUGGAUAAAGAUGGCUAUAUUUCCAAUGGGGAACUCUUCCAGGUGCUGAAGAUGAUGGUGGGGAACAAUCUGAAAGAUACGCAGUUACAGCAAAUUGUAGACAAAACCAUAAUAAAUGCAGAUAAGGAUGGAGAUGGAAGAAUAUCCUUUGAAGAAUUCUGUGCUGGAAAAGAGAAAAUGCAAGAGAAACUAUAUAUGGUCUACAAAAUUCUAUCAAUUUUAUUUUACUUACCUGGCCCUUUACGGAGUAAGUUUGCCCACACUCCUGAAAGAAAGAAGCCAUGAAAAUUCUAACUAGAGGCAAUGUAACUUCAACAAAAGAAAAAACACAGCUUCUGAAAAUGGUUAAAAUAGUUGUAGGUGGCCUAGAUAUCCACAAAAAGAUGGUGGUAGAUGUGUGACUCUUUUUUAAAGAGUACCACCCAACACUUUUGCUUUCUUCUCCAUCUCUGAAGAUCUGCUCAAGACGUCCAGCAAUGCUCUCUGUGUAUUUAAAUGGAAGUAUUUUUCUCUGUGAAGCCACAUUUUCCAACAUGAGCCUCAUGAAGCCAACUAAGUGUUAUUGAACUCUUAUUCUCUCAAUAACUCCGUGUAGCACUUUAAAGUCUGAAGGACAGCAACAUGAAAAGAGCAUAUCAAUGUGGUGAAGAAAGGGAAGGGGUUGGCUUUUUAAUUUAUUUUUCUUCAUCUUUUAUAACAAAGUAUCUAUAUAUACAUAUGUAAAUAUUUAUAUAUAGAUAUAUGUAGCUUUCUAUAUGUGUAGUAGGUUGGCUUUAAUUUAAUAUACUUGAUUCAGAAACAAAAUGACAGAGUACAGAAGUGCCAAGCAGAACAUGAAACACCCUUACUGUCAUUUCACAGGUUUAUAGGUAGAAGGUUGUACAGUUUGAGCCGGGUGUUAGGCCAGCUACUUUCUUUCCUGUGCUUUCUCCUUUGAGAGAUUGACAAAGCAUUUGUUAACGUCCUAUGAUUUACCUUAAGUACAUUUUUGUAACAAAGGAGUUUGUAACUUUAUUUAUACCUAUGAAUAUAUUUCCAGGGACUAUGUCUCAUUGCUGAGCAGCUUUUAUUACAUCUUUGCUUGAGGAGAAAGUAUAGUCAGUGCUACUGCCAAGAGCUCGUUCUUGUGUUCAUAUAGUGCCUGCACAAAGCUUGCGGCUGCUUCAUUCUGUUGCUUCAUAACUGGGAGCCAUUACAUUUAUUAAAUGUCCCUGAGUACAUGUAAGUUUCAGUUGUGAUUUCAUACAUAAAGGCCAGAAGCUAUGUGAGGCAAUCAUAAUUUAUCUUUGACAUUACUUAAUGAAGAGUACCUGAAGUAAUCACAUAACUGCAUAUCCAUUUGUUUUAUUACGUGGGUAAAUAACUUGUAAUUAAACCUAAGUUUGAACUGCAAACUUCCCCUCUGUGUUUCAAAUGACUUGCAGCUAAUUUGAAACUUGGGUGAUAUUUAAAUUGCAUGUAUGUAUCUAAACACCCAACAUAUAUUUGUGACUUAAAUGGGAGAAAUCUUACUCAUGUGUAUGUCACAGAAGAGAAAGUUUUUAUCCAAAUUUAUACCUCUUAAAUUUCUUUACCAUAAGGCAUAAAGAGUGCAUGAAAAUUUUCUUCCUUGAUUUGCUCAUAUUUGUAAUGGGUAACUUAAUAAAUUUGUGUGAUAUAAAAGUAGUAUAUCAUGUUCCACCACUUGUUAUUGUCCCUUCCCUUUUCUGCAAAGGUACUGUUGGCUGGAAGAAAACGUUACGGCUAGCUUUCUAGGACAGUAGUCUUUCCCUAUAUAGUUUUUCAGUAAAACUGGUUUUAUAGUCAUGAGUGGGAAAGGGCAGGUUGAGUGGAGGUGAAUCUUAAAUUGGGCGUACCUGCCUGCUAUUGCUGUUCCUUCAACUGAGUGCUGCACAUCAUGGGCUCUGUCUGUGAGAGAAAAAUCUCGGUGCUUGGUGUCCUUGCAUGACAUGGAGUUUUGCAUGUAGAUCGAUUUAAAAUGUACCUCUUGUUUACAUAAUUUGCAUAAUUUUAAAAGAUAAUGUUGCCAAACUUUGGAAAUGUUAAUGUUCAAACUGAAAAUCUCCACUACAUGUAACUUUCUUCCUCUGGAUCAGUACGUGGUUUAUAAUCCCAGCCAGUGGUUUGAUCUGUUCCAGUGUCAACUGCCAUGUGCUCUGCUUCAAGGGGGAACUAGUCUUUUGUGAAUUUUUUGUACAUAAGUAUUUGUUACAGAUAUUUUAGCAAAUGCUUUCUAUUUCUCUUGCUUGUGCAUAUCUUGGCUGGCGUUACAGAAAAAUAGUGCAAACAUUAUUUCCUUACUGGGGAAUGAGGGUUUUUUUCUUUUUUUUUUAAGUGCGUGUGGGUGGGGGGAGGGUGGUUUAUGUUGAAUGUUUAGUUUUUCUUCUGCAUGAAACAUCAUGUUGUGGGAUCUUUAGACAACUUCAUACUGUAUGAAUAAAAAAAAUAAAAUAUUUGGAACCUGA